GGUAAUACCUCGGCGGCGAGCGUUGUUCGGAAUUAUUGGGCGUAAAGGGUGUGUAGGCGGUGCUCUAAGUUCGGUGUGAAAUCUCCGGGCUUAACUCGGAGGGUGCACCCGAAACUGGACUGCUCGAGCUGUGGGAGAGGUGAGUGGAAUUCCCGGUGUAGCGGUGAAAUGCGUAGAUAUCAGGAGGAACACCUGUGGUGAAAACGGCUUUCUGGACCAUUGCUGACGCUGAGGCACGAAAGCUUGGGUAGCAAACAGGAUUAAAUACCCUGGUAGUCCACGCCCUAAACGAUGAUUGCUUGGUG
rnacentral:rRNA from 1 species